rnacentral:rRNA from 1 species
GACAGAGGGUGCAAACGUUGUUCGGAAUUACUGGGCGUAAAGCGUGUGUAGGCGGCCGCGACAGUCGGAUGUGAAAGCCCUGGGCUCAACUCAGGAAGUGCACCCGAUACUACGUGGCUAGAGUACCGGAGAGGUUGGUAGAAUUCUCGGUGUAGAGGUGAAAUUCGUAGAUAUCGAGAGGAAUACCUGUGGCGAAGGCGGCCACUGGACGAGUACUGACGCUAGACACGAAAAGCGUGGGGGAGCAAAACAGG